rnacentral:rRNA from 1 species
UACGAAGGGUGCAAGCGUUACUCGGAAUUACUGGGCGUAAAGCGUGCGUAGGUGGUUCGUUAAGUCUGUCGUGAAAGCCCCGGGCUCAACCUGGGAAUGGCGAUGGAUACUGGCGGGCUAGAGUGCGGUAGAGGAGAGUGGAAUUCCCGGGUGUAGCAGUGAAAUGCGUAGAUAUCGAGAGGAACACCAGUGGCGAAGGCGAGUCCCUGGACAACACCUGACACUGAGGCACGAAAGCUAGGGGAGCAAACAGG